UAGAAAAGAGAAAAGUGUCCUUUGGGCAGA
rnacentral:piRNA from 1 species